CUUAUGAAGAGCGGCGGAGGGAACGGCCCUGUGAUGCCCGGCAACCUGCUUAUUGAGCAAGGUGCCAAUUCCGGCGGUGCAUACCGACAGAUAAGG
rnacentral:ncRNA from 1 species